CCUGUUUCACUGAUCUGCCAUUCUUAUUUCUUUGCCAGUACCGAAUAGUUCUGAGGAUUUGCUGCUUUAUAAAAUAGUUUGAGAUCUAGUACGGGCUAGGCCGUAUUCCUUCACUUUUUUUUUUCAUUAAUUCCCUUGAUAUUCUGGACCUUUUUUCCCAAAGGGAUUUUCCUAGUGCGAAGGUCUGAAACUAUAUCACGGGCUGCUUUUGCAACUGACCUGCCCAAGCCGAUGAUCUGGUUUUGAAGACCUGCUGUACUCACAGGGAACUGGGCCUUCCCUAAGUCUCACAGUGGAAACCUGAGCCCAACUGCAAGUCCCGUCAGCAGAGAGGACACAGAAGACGCUUCCCCAGCCGGCGGCAUCAGCACGAUCCAAGGACUGGACGAGACCAGAGACGGGAGGCCGCUCUGCCCACCAUGCCCUAGAAUGGGAGAGAAUACCCUCUGGGGUUAGGACCCUGGGACCGAAUCUUCCGGCUGGAAACAGACCCUCUUCCAGAUGCACAAACAGAUGACAGCAGACCUGCUAUGGCGG
rnacentral:lncRNA from 1 species